GGGGUGGGCGCGGCCCUGCCGCUGCCGUCGGGCGGGGGUCUCGGGCCGGCGCCGGGCCCUAGGCCGUGUGCCCCGUAACGGUCGCUCAUCGAAGCGCCUCGCGUGGCGACACUCGCUCUCAACCGCAGGUCCACGCCCCCGCGGGGCUUCGGGAACCGCUGCCCGCUCGUCCGCCAUCCGUCGCGUCUCGGGGCGGCGUGGGUGUCGCUCCAGAUAAGCCAUCAGAGUCGGAAGGCGGUGUAGGAUGGGGGGUGACAAAGAUGUCUCGACAGGGACUCUCCCGGAGCGAGUUCUUUCCAUGAACAUAGAGGAGAUCCAAGCUUCAUUUUAAAAGUGAAAAAGCAAGAAAAUUGCUUUCGGUUGCUACCAAAGAGAGAGAAGCGUAAGAGGCCAGCUGUAAUAAGGGGAAAGAGAAGUUGGGUAAUUUUUGAGAUUCUGUGAAUUUGCUGUUACUAAAUGAAGUGUGAUAACAGGCGUUAUAUCACAUUGGAUCUCUUCAAGAUUAGGCAGGAAAUUUUUAAAAAGAAAUUGAAUUAUAUGUGGGGUGAAUUUUCACCAGCAAAUGCGGUAAUUAGGCCUUCGGAAAGACCCGAGAGAAGCCAGCUUUCAGAAUUACAUUAAAGAGCAGGAAUUCAAAUGGUUUUUUGCCUUAACUACAGUCUACCCUAUUGGGACAAUCAGUUAAUUCUGUCUCCUCUCAAUUUUCCUUGUCCGUCUGUCCUUUAUGUCACAUUUCAAGAACUCCAAGAUCAUCGCUAAAUGCAUUCAUGGGUAAAGCAUACCUUUUAGUAUUUCAGCAUUUCAUUUGGGGAACAGAAUUAACAGUGUGUGGCACACACAAAACCUUAGCAUUAGGUUUGCUCACCAUGUGGAAGUGCAAUUUUUCAUCCUUAUGACAAUAUAAGAGACGGUGACUGAAGCAAAUAACUGGUAGCUAGGAGAUCUUCCUGAUUCCCUUCCUGGUGGUUUUCCCCCAUUAACUGUGCCAUGACUCCGUAGCUAAAGGGCUUAGUUUCCUCUUACUUGAGUUGUUCAACUGGAAGCGAAGAAAACAGCAACAGAAACUCCCGGAGGUGGGGCCGGGGCAUCUUGAGCUGAGGUUCCCAAAGUAGGAUGAUUGACCAAGGAGGCCUGGUUAAAAUCAAGUAUCCUAGGAAAGAAGGACUUAAAAGAAUGGACCAAGCCCUUGAGAUGAAGGAACUAUGUCAAGUUUGAAGAGUCAGGCCCCUAAGAGAGAUUGGCAAGAGAGGCAAAAUGCCCAGGGAACUGAAGGGACAGGGACGGCUGUCCCACAUGUGUGUUGGUAAUUGCGUGCAUGGGAGAUGAUCCAAGGAUGUUGAUGACUGUGAAUGCCAGGUGGCUUUAUGUAAGAGAGUGUCUGCCUUGCCGCAUGGCUGGAAGACGAAACAUCUCCAGUCCUUUUAUUAUAUGUCUAUAAUGUGAAUAGCCUCUGCUUAGAUAAGGCGGUUCAUAGCCUGAAUAAUCUGAGAUGGCCCUGCUUACCCAGAGCAUAGAGAGGUCCCAUUAUCCUUAGAUUGACUUUAGAAGCAUUAUCUUUAGCUGUAAGGUCUUUCUUUGUGGUUAUAAAAGUAAUAUGUACUUUGGAAAAUGGAGAAAUAUAGAGAGAUCUGAAGGAGAAAAUAAAAGCAUUUGAAAUCCCACUCCAAGUAAUAUAAUGUUAUGAAAUAUCAAAUAUUUCGUAUUACUACAUUCGUACAUCUCUCUUUAUGUGUGCAUAUGUGCAUAUACACAGAGAGAUAUUUUGAACAUGUUUUAAUGUAAUAUUUGAAUUUGGCAUCUUGUUUUAUCUACUUAGCAUGUUGUGUCAUUUUCCUAUGUUAUCAAAAAUUCUUCAUGAAAGUUAUUUUUAGGGCUGCCUAAAAGUCUAUACCCUUAAUACUGCACAUUUGAGUUGCUUCAGACUUUCUUUUAUAAAUGCUGUAAUGAAAAUCUUUGCCUGUAAACCCUCAUGGCUCUACCUUGGGAUGGAUUCCUAGAAGUGGAAGAACUGGGUCAACAAGUCACACUCUUUGAAGCCUGUUGAAACACCCUAAAGAAUUGCAUUCGAGAAAGGUUGCACCAGGGUACACUCCCAGCAUUGGUUUAUAAGAGCGCCAAUUGGAAACUGUCCAUGCCAGCAAUGAACAGUAUAAUUUAUAGAUUAAACUUUGCCAAUGUUGUAGGCAAAAAUUAUCUUAUUGUUGUAAGAUAUUGCUGGAGAGGUUUACUAAGCCAUUCAUAUAUUUAUUAAACAUUUAUAUUUCUUUUAAAUCAUGUUCUUUGACCAUUUUUUUCUUUUGGCAUUAUUGUAAGGUAUUAAUCCCUUAUUUUAUGUUGAUUAUAUUUUCCCUGCUUGCUGUUUGCUUUAUAAUUUUGUUUAUGAUGUUUUUGAUUUAGAAAUGCUUUAAAUUUUUAUUAGCUAAAGAAAUUUUUAUUUGUGAUUUCAUACACACACACCACCCACUCACACACACACCUGCCCCACACAUAUAUCUAUAUCUGUUUAGAACAUUCUUUCUAUUCCUACAAUCAGUUAAAUAUCCACCAGUAUUUUCUUGUGUGUGUGUGUGUUUAUGGUUGGACGUUUUUUACUCUAUGUAUUUAGUCUCUUUAGAAUGACUAUAUGUAUUGUGUGAGGUUUAGAGCUAAUCUGUUUUUUAUCCCCCCAAUCAUUAAUAAUGCACUUUCUCCCUGGCUUUACAAUCCUUUACGAUAGUUAUAAAUACGAAAGUCUAUAUUAAGCUUUUAUACUUUUGUUGGUAUUGUGAAAGGAAUUUUUCUUAACCACAUCGUGUUUUUGCUGCUGGUUUCUAGCUUUUGGUUUUUAUAUGUUAAGUUUUUAACUAGCUACCUUUCUGAAUUCUGUUAUUAAUUCUAAUACUAAUAAAUACUAGUAUCUCUUAGACUUGAUUUCUUUGCAUUUUCUAGGUGUAUAAUCUUCCAGUCUAUAGAUAAGGUUGAUUUCGCUUCCUUUCAAAUGGUAAUUCUUCAUUUCUAUUUCUUGCCUUUGGCAAUGCCUGGAACUUUGAGAUCAAUGUUCAUUCAGAGAUAUUUAAAUAAAUAAAUGAAGGAACCUCUAUAACAGCACCUACUAAAGUAUGUUCCACAAGAUCAUCUGUAAAAAAACAAUGGCAGUGGAGGGAAGCCUUAUGCUUCCUCUUUGAUCUGUCAUUAAAUAUAUGAUUAACAGUACAGAUUCUAGAUUCAGAAUACCUAGGUUUGAAUCCUAACUCUGCCACUUACUAAUGUAAUUUUGGGUAAGUUAAUUACCCUCUCUGCCUUCAGUUUCUUCAUCUGUAUAAAGGGAAUAAUAGUUGUAUCAACCUUAAAGGAUUGUUGGGAGGGUUAUAUGAGCUAAUAGUAUAUCUAAAGUGCUUAGAGCAGUCCCUAGCACAUAAUAAGCAUGUAAGUGUUAGCUUUCGGACCCGAUUUUUAACCAGAACCCUAACCAAAAAGAAACCUGAGAAAUGUAGUUUUUAACCUUUCCAGCCUCUGCAGUUAGAAAGUCACCCUUUCUAAUAAUCUCGUAGGAAGGUGGAAUAGAACAGUGCUCCUCAGCUUUAAUGUGCAGAUGAAUCAUCUCUUGUUAAAUGCAGAUUGUAAUUUCCUUGGUCUGGGGUGAGGCCUAAGAUUUUGCAUCUCUAACAAGCUCCCAAGUGAUGCUGAUACUUUGCCCAUGUACCACACUUUGAGUAGCAAAGGAGUAGAGGAUAAGCAAGCCAGUCCACAGUAUUCACACUACUUGCCCUUCAACAGAGUAACAGUAAUAGAUAUAUAUAAGGAAGUUAUUUAACUAUUUCCCUAGAAGAGUAUAUUUGAACUCGUGGUAAAGUAUGAGAAGCCUACAGUUGUUCCCCAGGCCAAGUGAUUUGCUUUAGGUCCUACAGCUAACUAGUACUAGAGUAGACCAGAAUCCAGGCCACAGCCUGUGUUUUUCAUACAUACAAAGAGGCCUCCCACGUGCUGGAAGAACAGUCUCGGACAGAUCAGCUGCCCUUCCUUAGAUUGUGUAGCUCAACGUUAGGCAUUCCUUUAUACCCAUAUGCUUUCAUACCUUUUAGAAGCAAUUUUCAGGCAGUACUGUAACAAGUGAUAUGAGUUUAGAUGAAUUCAGCUCUAAACUUAAUCUCACCUUGUUCCCGAGAGUGUCCAGUCACUAGAGUAACUCAGAAUAAUUUUGCAUAUCUUAGGCAUCUUUCGUUCAUUUUUUUAUCAUUAUUCAGAGGGGAACUUCUAAAUCAGUGGUUCUUAACUGGGGGCAGUUUAGUUCACAGGGGACAUUUGGCAAUGUCUAGAGACAUUUUUUACUGUUAAGACUAGGGGAGUGCCACUGGCAUCUAAUAGGAAGAGUCCAGGGAUACUGCUACACAUCCUAUAAUGCACAGAACAGUCUCCUACAACAAAGUGUUAUCUGGCCCAAAUGUCAAAAGUGCCAAAGUUGAGAAAGCCUACUCAAAAUGCAUUAGAGUUACAGUGGUUUGAGUUGUUAAAUAUAAUUACUCUGCUAAUAGAUAUACCAAUGGAUAGGUAAAAAUUUAUUUUCUUGAAGCUUACAUUCCAAACAGGUAAUCUCCCAAGUUGUAUCUUUUCUUGUAUCACUACUUUCAGCAACUCCUCAUAUGCACCUUUCUCUAUUUUGCUCUCUCUCUCACAUUCUUUUUCUGUCCCCCUUUCCUACAACCUGUCUUUCUGUCUCUCCUUAUUGAGAAAGUCUCAUCCUCCUGUUGUCUUCUUAUUCCUCUCAACUAACUGCAUCACAAAACUGUAUUUUUAGUACAUGUAAUUUUCAGAUUUAUAAAAUAAAUAUUAUUUAUUUAUUUAAUAAAGUAUUAAGAUUUCCUAAUCUAAAAAUCAGAUGUUUCAUAUUUCUCUAAAAAAAAAAAUUAACCCCCCAACCUAAAUUAUGUUGCUUUUUGUGUAAAUCUUCAGUUAUUGUUGUUGUUGUUUUUUCUGUUGUAGGUCAUUGAUCCUUGAUAGGAAAAAGAAUACCCACCCUCCUCUGUACGAGUUUUUCUCAAUUUCCUAUUCCAGAGAAGUGGUAAAGCAAGGUUAAGGGGAAAAACUAAAAGUACUAUUAGCCUUGCCCUAAGAGGCCAAAGUAGAAACCCUGUAUCUUUAUUCGUACCUUCUUUAAGCCUUAGCCACACUAUCUCUAGUUUCUCUCUUCUUCUCUGGAGUCACAAGCUUAUCUAGCAGUAGCAGCCACCUAUCUUCAAAAACCUUGACAGUCCCUAAUAGUCACGUUGUGAUUCUUUAAGUCUGAUAUGUGUGUGUGUGUGUGUGUGUGUGUGUGUGUGUGUGUGUUUAGAGGAAUUCAUGAGACAAAGAGUAGUUUCAUUUGAGCAAAGAGACUGAAUUUGUAAUUAACUUGAUGCAAAAGAUAUUUUCUAACUUCUCAACUAAUUUUUUUCCCAUAUCCAGUGUGGUUUUUUUUUUUUUUUUUUCCAUUUAACCUCAUUGGCAGCUAUGCCUUAGCUUGGCAUGAGAAGAGACGAUGGUUGGCUUUGUUUAUUGUUGCUGUUUCCUUAUGGCAACAACUAGUAGAGUUUAUCAGAGCUCUGAUCAAAGAGAAAGCAUGGAAAAGUUUUGAACUUCAUGGAAAAUGAAGGAUAAAAUUAUUAUUAAUGCUUAAUAUCUAAACAGUGUUAAGAUAAUUAAAUUUCCAUUAUGGGUUUUACUAUAUUCUCUCUGAUAUAGCUUUUUGUAACAUCUCUGUUUGAGAUUUUUUUAUUCCCUCUUCUAAUUAAUCCAAAGAAAUUGAUUUUUGUUUUCUACUUCGAUGUAUGCAGAUCGUCUACAGAGGCUGGGAAUUCAAGUUUGAUUUCCUGUGACCAGAAAAUUCAUCAGUCUGAUUGCACUCAGAAUUCCUCAGUCCAUGAUUUUCAGAGAUAAUAAUGUAUAAUAGAAGCUGUUGACACUGCCGUAAGUUGAGAAUUGAGAAGGAAAGUCAGUUUUAAGGAAAGCUGUUUGCUUUUGGCUACUUUUAAUAGACAAGCUAGUCUGUCUUGUGGUAGCAUCUAGCAUAUGGCCCUGCACAUACAAGGUACUCAAUAAUGUCACCAGACACUUCAUUUCUUAAAAGUUAAGUAGAUUUUAGGAAAAGUACAAAAUGUAGAAAUUUUUAACCUGCAGCUUGAAUUAAUCAUGUUCUUCACUUCAUGGCCUAAUCUUAUCUAUCAUCAGUUCAUGCACAGCCCUCUCUUAUUUAAUUUAAAUAUUUUUUCAUUGCACAACCAUUCUCUUCCACUAUAGUAGGCAACUCUUUUAAUAUUUUUGAUGGAUAUGGCUGAAAUUGUGUGCAUCUUUUUGAAUACUUGGUAGUUUCAUUUGUGUAUGUUUGCAGCUAUGAUUUAAAAUAUUGAAUCCUAUUGGUUAAAGUGAAAAUGAAUACAAAUUUUAGUAUUUUUCAGUUUGUAAUCAUUUCAAAGACUAAUUCAAGGAGUAGUUGAUAUUCUCAUUGAUUUUUAUCCAUCUCCUCAGAAUGUGUUUUUUUCCUUUAUUGGUUUUAUGUAAUUUAGUGGGAGAUAAGUGUAAAUAAAUAACUGCAUUUAAUCCAAAAUGACAAGUUAUGAUAUUUAAUUAAAAAUGACAAACGAGUUUAUAAAUAUGAUGAUAACCAUGUUCUGAAUUAUAUAAUGUGGCUAGGCAAAGCUUUGUAUAGUUAGUCAAUUUUUAUAUUUAACAUAUUUUUAUACAUUUUGUAGGAAAUGAAAAUUGCAACUGCAUUUAAUAUCCAGUGAGCGGGAAAACAUGCCCAGCCUCACUAGGAAUUUUAAAAAUGCAAAUUAAAGCUAGUUGUUAAAGAUUAAAAAGAUGAAUGGUGUGGGUUUAGAGAAACAACGUAUGAAAUAAGAAUACACUGAAGUUAAAAGCAUAAAUUGGUUCAGUCUUUCUGGAGGGAAAUCUGAUAUCAAACCUCAUGAGUAGAUACUCUUAUUACCCCCACUUUAAAGAUGUAAAAACAGCAGCGUAAGUAACAUAAGUUAACAUAUUGACAUAAGUUAACAUAUUAACUUAAGUUGAGUAACAUAUUGAAAGUAUCAUAGCUAGUAAGUUGCAGAGUUGAGAUUCAAAUCCAUUCUUAAAGCCUCAGGUCUUAACCACCAAGCUGGUGUUAGGCCAUGAAAUCAAUUUAGUGGAUUGUGAACAGGAUAGGAUACAAAUGGUUAGAAUGUAUCACACAUGGUAUAAGUAUCAUUUUGUGGAACUUUGGUUUCUGCUAUGUACUGGGUCAAGAUGGAAAAUAUAUUUCUUAUUGUUGAUCACAGUCAAGAUCACUGCACUGCCCAGCCAGCUCAAUUCUGUCUCACGGCCUCUGCCUGGACUUUCUUCCCCAGAUCUUCUAUCAUCAGCUGAUGUCACCUCUCCGAAAUCCCAGCUCUGCCUACUCUAUAAAGAGAACCUCCAAUCCACUCCAUCUUCCUCUCUUCCGCUAUUCUGUUUUUUAUUUUCCUCAUAGCUCUUCUCACUAUUUGAAAUGAUCUGAUUAAUUUAUUUCUUAAUGUGUUUAUUCUCUGCCACUUCCCACUUCCCCCUUCACAGGCUCACGCUAAAACAUAAACCCCAUGAAAGAGGAGAUCACAGUAUAUGGCAUUUGCUUCAGACAGUUAUUAUGGCAUCUCUGAGGUAGUAUAGAGUUUGUAAAAACUUCUGUCGAAAAUGACACUGCUGGUAAAACCUCAAUUGAUGUUUUUGCUGAAGCAGUGUGGCUUCCCAGGGGCCAUUAUCAUGACAAAAAUUAAUUCUGAAGAGAAAGGACUUUGUGUAUAACAAGAACAUACUUUAUUGUCAGAAUUAAAAGAAACUAGUGCUGUUAGUUGUGUGUUGAGCUAAAGCUCCCUCUAAGAUACUGGCAAGAAUUUAGGCAAGGAUUGUGUUCCUUGAUAUGCUGAGUUUAAAAACCACCAAAACAGGAAGCUGAAAGGCUAUCAAACUUGGGAUCUUGGUAUUCAUUUAUGAAAUUGGUCUAAAUUUGCAGAUUUGUUUUUAAAUUUUCUUGAACUCAACACAGGAAAGAUAGUAAAUGAAACCCAGAGCUAACAUAAGUUAAAAUUCAGAUUAGCCAUUUCAAUAAUGGCAAUGUUAAAGGGUAAUUUUGAAAAAGAAGUAAAAUUAUAGUGCUCAUUAAAUAGAAAAUGAGCACUUAUUAAGGAUUUUAUUUAACUCAUCAUUAAUGAGGGAACCAGACAAAUGUUACAACUGAUUCAAAGGAGAAAACAAAGAAUCAAAAAUAUAUUUGGAGAAAAUGGGUAUGUUGAAAUGAACUGACAAAUUGACAUGAAACUGGCUUUUUCCAUAGGCAGGGGAAGGAAGACAAUUGAGCCUCCACUGUAACAGAAUUUGUUUGUAUGUCAAUAGAUAAGAAUUAUUUUGCAUUGCUAUUUGUUAUCUGUAAUUUACAGACGUAAAAUAGC